rnacentral:rRNA from 2 species
UGGCUCAGAACGAACGCUGGCGGCAGGCUUAACACAUGCAAGUCGAGCGGGCAUAGCAAUAUGUCAGCGGCAGACGGGUGAGUAACGCGUGGGAACGUACCUUUUGGUUCGGAACAACUGAGGGAAACUUCAGCUAAUACCGGAUAAGCCCUUACGGGGAAAGAUUUAUCGCCGAAAGAUCGGCCCGCGUCUGAUUAGCUAGUUGGUGAGGUAAUGGCUCACCAAGGCGACGAUCAGUAGCUGGUCUGAGAGGAUGAUCAGCCACAUUGGGACUGAGACACGGCCCAAACUCCUACGGGAGGCAGCAGUGGGA